rnacentral:rRNA from 1 species
CGGGACGGGUGAGUAAUGUCUGGGAAACUGCCUGAUGGAGGGGGAUAACUACUGGAAACGGUAGCUAAUACCGCAUAACGUCGCAAGACCAAAGAGGGGACCUUCGGGCCUCUUGCCAUCGGAUGUGCCCAGAUGGGAUUAGCUAGUAGGUGGGGUAAAGGCUCACCUAGGCGACGAUCCCUAGCUGGUCUGAGAGGAUGACCAGCCACACUGGAACUGAGACACGGUCCAG